CAGUAGCCACGGUAAUACCAGCAGCCCAAGUGGUGGUCGCGAUCAUUGGGCCUAAAGCGCUCGUAGCCGGGCCGGUAAGUCCCUUGUGAAAUCGGACGGCCUAACUGUUCGGCGUGCAAGGGAUACUGUCGGUCUUGAGGCCGGGAGACGUCCGAGGUACUCCGGGGGUAGCGGUGAAAUGUUCUAAUCCUCGGGGGACCACCGGUGGCGAAGGCGUUCGACGAGAACGGGCCUGACGGUGAGGGGCGAAGGCUAGGGGAGCAAACGGGAUUAGAGACCCCGGUAGUCCCUGUCUCUUAUA
rnacentral:rRNA from 1 species